rnacentral:rRNA from 1 species
CAAUAGCGUAUAUUAAAGUUGUUGCGGUUAAAAAGCUCGUAGUUGGAGUUCUGCCAGGUGCCGCCUGUCCGCCCCAGUGGUGAGUACGUGGCGCGCAUUUGGCCCUUUCAAGGGGAGCGUAUCUGCACUUUAUUGUGUGGUGCGGGAUCCUUGACUUUUACUUUGAGGAAAUAGGAGUGUUCCAAGCAGGCUCUCGUCGUGCACAGCUCAGCAUGGAAUAAUAGCAUUGGACCUCGAUUCUAAGCUGUUGGUUGCCAGAAGCGAGGUAAUGAUGAAGAGGGAUAGUUGGGGGCAUUCGUAUUUAACUGUCAGAGGUGAAAUCCUUGGAUUUGUUAAAGACGGACUACUGCGAAAGCAUCUGCCAUGGAUGUUUUCAUUGA